CACGGGGGUUGCGAGCGUUGUCCGGAAUUACUAGGCGUAAAGGGCAGGCAGGCGGAUCCAUAAAUUUAUCGUUUAAGGCGUCGGCUUAACCGGCGUAGGGCGGUAGAUACUGUGGAUCUGGAAUGCGGUUGGGGAAGACAGAAUUCCUGGUGUAGCGGUGGAAUGCGCAGAGAUCAGGAGGAAUACCGAAGGCGAAGGCAGUCUUCCAAGCCGUUAUUGACGCUCAACUGCGAAGGUGCGGGUAUCAAACAGGAUUAGAUACCCUGGUAGUCCCUGA
rnacentral:rRNA from 1 species